AGAGACUUAGGUUUAACAUCAGACCAAGAGCCUUCAAAGCCCUCAGUAGAAGUGAAAAUCUUCUAGUCCCUG
rnacentral:tRNA from 1 species